GACUCCUGAAACAGUCAAACAGAGCUCUGUCAUUUUACAACACAGAAGAAAAAUGGGUUUUAAAAUUAGUUCCGCUGUGAUUUUUUUAAUAUUUGUUUCUAAUUGUAGGUGCCCAUAGACGUAUGAAAAGAGCAUACUAUCGUGAAGUAGGAUUAUAGGAAUGGCAAUUAAAAUACUUAAUUCUGAGGUGUAGAUUAUACAAGGCAAUCACAUUUCUUGUCAGCUGUGUAUAUUCCUCUGCCUCUCUCUUUCUGGAUUUAGGCAGUUCGCUCUAGAGCUGUCUGAAUUACAAAGUACAGGGCAACAUUAUCAGAAAGGAAUCACCUGCAAAUGAGUUCAUCACCUCCCUGUGCUCCACAACAUCCUAUUCUCAAAUCCCUGUCAAUCCCCAUGCUGACCAAUUAAGCACCCAUGGGAGUUGCUGCCGCUCUACUGUGUAGAAAUCAUCUCCACGACUGCAGAUAAAAGGCCAGAGAGAUCUAAUCUGCUUCCACUAAAGAGCACCACG